rfam:Haemonchus contortus, ISE/inbred ISE, WGS project CAVP01000000 data, contig: Hcontortus_38583
GGCCCAAACAUGAAGUAGAGUAACUUAGUAGGGUCAGCUGAUACUACUAAUCUACUCUACUUCGAAUUUGAGCCC